rnacentral:rRNA from 1 species
AUUGAACGCUGGCGGCAGGCUUAACACAUGCAAGUCGAGCGGAGAUGAGGUGCUUGCACCUUAUCUUAGCGGCGGACGGGUGAGUAAUGCUUAGGAAUCUGCCAUUUAGUGGGGGACAACAUUCCGAAAGGAACGCUAAUACCGCAUACGUCCUACGGGAGAAAGCAGGGGAUCUUCGGACCUUGCGCUAAAUGAUGAGCCUAAGUCGGAUUAGCUAGUUGGUGGGGUAAAGGCCUACCAAGGCGACGAUCUGUAGCGGGUCUGCGAGGAUGAUCCGCCACACUGGGACUGAGACACGGCCCAGACUCCUACGGGAGGCAGCAGUGGGGAAUAUUGGACAAUGGGCGGAAGCCUGAUCCAGCCAUGCCGCGUGUGUGAAGAAGGCCUUUUGGUUGUAAAGCACUUUAAGCGAGGAGGAGGCUACUGAGACUAAUACUCUUGGAUAGUGGACGUUACUCGCAGAAUAAGCACCGGCUAACUCUGUGCCAGCAGCCGCGGUAAAAC